UACAGAGGUGGCAAGCGUUGUUCGGAAUUACUGGGCGUAAAGGGCGCGUAGGCGGUCUUGUAAGUCUCGUGUGAAAUCCCUCGGCUUAACUGAGGAACUGCACGGGAUACUGCUUGACUUGAGUUCGGGAGAGGGAAGCGGAAUUCCGGGUGUAGUGGUGAAAUGCGUAGAUAUCCGGAGGAACACCGGUGGCGAAGGCGGCUUCCUGGACCGACACUGACGCUGAGGCGCGAAAGCUAGGGGAGCAAACGGG
rnacentral:rRNA from 1 species